GAUGAACGCUGGCGGCGUGCCUAAUACAUGCAAGUCGAGCGAACAGACGAAGCGCUUGCUCCUCUGUAGUUGCCAGCGGACGGGUAAGUAAUACGUGGCCAACCCUUCUCUCAGACUGGAGUAAGUUCGGGAAAGUGUAACUCAUACCGGGAACUUUCUCCACACGCAUGGUUCUGUAGUGAAAUACGGUUUUGCUGUCACUUCUCGAUGUAUCCGCUCCGCAUUAGCUAGAUGGUACGGUAACGGCUUACCAGGGAACCGAUGCGUAGCCGACGCGAGCGGGUGAUCGGCCACACUGGAGCGUGGACACGGUCCAUAGUCCUACGGGAGGCAGCAGAAGGGAAUCUUCCGCAGUAGUCGAAAGCCUGACGGAACGACGGCGCGUGAGUUAUGAAGGUGUUCGGAUCGGAAAACUCUGUUAUUAGGGAAGAACAAAUGUGAAAAGAACUAUACACGACUUGACGGUACCUAAACAGAAAGCCACGGCUAACUACGUG
rnacentral:rRNA from 1 species